rnacentral:rRNA from 1 species
UACGUAGGGGGCAAGCGUUGUCCGGAAUCAUUGGGCGUAAAGAGCGUGUAGGUGGCUCGGUAAGUCCGCUGUGAAAGUCCAGGGCUCAACCCUGGAAAGCCGGUGGAAACUGUCGAGCUCGAGUCCGGAAGAGGCGAGUGGAAUUCCUGGUGUAGCGGUGAAAUGCGCAGAUAUCAGGAGGAACACAAUGGCGAAGGCAGCUCGCUGGGACGGUACUGACACUGAGACGCGAAAGCGUGGGGAGCAAACAGG